GAUGAACGCUGGCGGCGUGCCUAAUACAUGCAAGUCGAGCGAACGGACGAGAAGCUUGCUUCUCUGAUGUUAGCGGCGGACGGGUGAGUAACACGUGGAUAACCUACCUAUAAGACUGGGAUAACUUCGGGAAACCGGAGCUAAUACCGGAUAAUAUUUUGAACCGCAUGGUUCAAAAGUGAAAGACGGUCUUGCUGUCACUUAUAGAUGGAUCCGCGCUGCAUUAGCUAGUUGGUAAGGUAACGGCUUACCAAGGCAACGAUGCGUAGCCGACCUGAGAGGGUGAUCGGCCACACUGGAACUGAGCCACGGUCCAGACUACUACGGGAGGCAGCAGUAGGGAAUCUUCCGCAAUGGGCGAAAGCCUGACGGAGCAACGCCGCGUGAGUGAUGAAGGUCUUCGGAUCGUAAAACUCUGUUAUUAGGGAAGAACAUAUGUGUAAGUAACUGUGCACAUCUUGACGGUACCUAAUCAGAAAGCCACGGCUAACUACGUG
rnacentral:rRNA from 1 species